rnacentral:lncRNA from 1 species
CUUGAUUUAUUUUAGUCUCUACAAUUUGGAAGACAAGAAAAGUGUUAUGAAAUGGUAAAUUUUUAGAAGUGACCAAGAUGAUAUACACUUUGCUUCCACUUCUGCUGAGAAAAGAAGUCAUCAUAGAUCUUGGAGCCAUGAUGAUUGAAUGUGGGGCCUGGUGAUUGAAGUUUAUGGAUACUUGGUGACUUCCCACAUCGACACAAUGUCAGCAACACAGAAUGCAUGUUUUCUUUAUGGACUGAAACACCCGAAGAC